rnacentral:rRNA from 1 species
AGGACUAACGCUGGCGGCGUGCCUAACACAUGCAAGUCGAACGAGGUAGCAAUACCUAGUGGCAGACGGGUGAGUAACACGUAGUCAACCUACCUUUUAGUGGGGGAUAACUAGCCGAAAGGUUAGCUAAUACCGCAUACGAUCGUCGAGUGGCAUCACAUGACGAUGAAAGCAGCAAUGCGCUAAGAGACGGGACUGCGUCCCAUUAGCUAGUUGGUGGGGUAACGGCCUACCAAGGCUUCGAUGGGUAGCUGGCUUGAGAGAGCGACCAGCCACACUGGGACUGAGACACGGCCCAGACUCCUACGGGAGGCAGCAGUGAGGAAUUUUCCGCAAUGGGGGCAACCCUGACGGAGCGACGCCGCGUGUGGGGAAGAAGGGCCUUCGGGUCGUAAACCACUGUCGAAGGGGACGAUACUGACGGUACCCUUGGAGGAAGCCCCGGCUAACUACGUGCCAGCAGCCGC